rnacentral:lncRNA from 1 species
GGCGGCGAGCGCUAUCUGGAGCUGACCGUGCGGCUCUUAAUCCCUGGCCUUGGGAAAGUGAAUUGGCCUGAAUAGCAAGGAGGAGAACUUGGGUGUGGAAAUACCGGGUAUGUUCUUACAGUAUUUAGAUGGUAAAAUAUAAAGCUAGCCAGUUAUUCUGUCAACUCAUUAGACACCAUUGUAGGGAGGAGAACUCAGUUUAAGGGGCAAAACGUUGAGAGUUCAGACUUUUUUCUUGAAUCAGUAGGCAUUUAGCAGACGGAUAGGCCCCUGCCAGGGUUCAUUUCGCAGAAAUGGCAGCCUCUAGGGAGAGGUAACCUAAUAAAUAAAUUAUUGCAUGUGUGUGUAUGUGUGUGUGUGUAGGGGUGUGUGUGUGUGUGUGUGUGUAUGUGUGUGUGUGUGUAGGUGUAGGUACUUUUCUCCCUAUUUUACAGCUGAGGACACUGAUGUACAAAGAGGUUAAAUCACACAGCUAGAAAGUGGAAGAACUAAGUUUUGACCCUUGGUGUUCUGACUGGGGGUCUACAUUCUAAUCCACUGUUCUGCCUAGAUUCUGAAUGGAGUGAGGCAGGGAUCAUCCCCGGAGGGUCAGGAAUGUACCCCUCACCCCAUACAGAGAGGGCCUUGAGGAUUCUA